UGGCAGGAUUGCGGAGUGGAGUUUGGUUAAAAUAAAGAGAGGAAAGGAAGGGCAAGAGGCACACCCAGAGCUCCUCACCUGCCAAGCUAGUCGCUGUCAAGUGUUUUUCCAGAAUCACAGCAGACGGAGGGAUCUCAAGAAGGGAUUUGAAGGAGGAUCAGGUGUUGGCUGCACAACUUUUUUCGGGGAGUUUUCUCCAUAAAGAAAGGGCAGCAUGGGAGAAAAUGGAGAGACACAGAGGAGCCUUGGCAGGUGCUUAGGUGCAGCCAGAGUAUUGAGAGGAGUGGACAGCAAGUCAGGCUGGCAAUGAGGGGACAUCUCUCCACUCCGGUGCUAUGGCUUCGUCUCCUCACAAUUCAGAUCAUAGCAGGUAACUUGCUGAGGCUGGCGGACGGAGGCAACCCGUGUGCCGGGAGAGUGGAGGUUAAACACCAGGAUCAGUGGGGGACGGUGUGUGAUCACGACUGGGACAUGGCAGAUGCUGGGAUUGUCCGUAAGCAGUUGGGAUGUGGAGAUCCUGUCAGUGCUGCUGGAAAUGCACAUUUUGGAUGAGAAUCUGGACCAAUUUGGCUAAAAAACGUUGCCUGUGAUGGUACCAAGUCUGCUCUCUGGCACUGUGGGAACAAGGGAUGGGGUAAGAAUGAUUGGAGGCAUGGAGAGGAUGCUGGAGUGACCUGUUCUGGUAAGAAUCAGCCAGCUCACUCUGAAAGGCAAAUGCCCUGAGACAAAAGAGCUUGAACCCAGAGGGCAUCGUGUGCCUGUGACCCUAACGAGAAAUGAACAAAAACCAGAACAACUCCUGUAAUGAUUGUUAUUACUCAGCUGUAAUUAUUACUAAUCAUGUCACUGGCCACUGAGGAA